GUCUCCAUAGCUCAGUGGUAGAGCAUGCGAUUGCAGCUACUCACGACUAUCGCAGGGUCAGGUGUUCGAACCACCUUGGGGACU